AAGUCGUAACAAGGUUUCCGUAGGUGAACCUGCGGAAGGAUCAUUAACACGUUCCAAACGUAUCAACCAAACCGCGAACUCUGACGUUAGUGAUCUCUCUUCCAAUUGGGGAUGCUUUGCCUCUUCCAAUUGGGGAUGCUUUGCCAUCUCCCUUUCUGGGAGAGACGAUCACGCCUGAGCAUGUUAGGGGAAAGUGCUGUUUAGGAGCUUGCUCCUCUACAGAGUGCUUCCUUUAACACUGUUCCUAUUAACCCAAACCCUAUUUGUUUAUUAUUUCUUCGUUGUAAAGGACGUGGCGUUUCACGCUAUUGUCUUUUAUUACAAACUUGUACAACUCUUAGCAACGGAUGUCUUGGUUUCC
rnacentral:misc_RNA from 1 species